UAAAUCUCCAGAAAAAAAUCACAAUUAUUUUGAUGUGGCAGAGUUGUAAGCACAACCCUAUGUAUUUUCAUAAAUCGGAGUAUUAUAGAUCCAUUAAUAUUUGUAGUUAAUACUGUAAAAAAAAGUUUUUGGAAAUAUUUCACCCGAGAGGGCUUGUCUGAGAACACAGCCUGCAGAGAAGCCCCUGGGGCCCAGGUUCUGUCACUCUCAGGCAGGUUUUUUUGAUUAUGUAGAUUUUUUCCUACCGCAGUUUCAUAUGCAAAGCAUGCACCAGCCACAGCCGCGCCAGCUCCGAAGCAGUCACUCUGAAACCGAAGCUGGGGACGGUGCAGACUAAAUAAAAUUUCAUUUUGAUUUGGCCUCCCGCUGCGAAUGGGACUGCUUUGUCUCAGCGCCGAACCAGAAAGAAAGUGGAGACUCUGACGACAUGGACAGGGGCCAGCACCCCUGGCAGUGUCCAUUCGGAAUUCUGACCCACCAAACCUGGGACCAUAUGACAUAGCUAUUUUCAAGGGCUCGGCUUUGUGAGAGUUUGCUGUGCAGCCAGAGGUAACAAAAAUGUUCCUGCCCAUUUAAAGGGUGGCAGUCUGGGCAAGGUGAAAAGAAGCUGAAAAUUAGUUCUUGGCAGUGUAGCUGGUAGAACUUUCUCCAACUGUCAUAGAUCCAGCCAGCGGGGAAGAUCACACCUCGAUAAGUAUGUGGCCGUGUGACUGCUCUGAAUACCUGCAAAAUUACUCCUAAGACCUGAAAUCAGACAAAAA